rnacentral:rRNA from 1 species
GACGUAGGGGGCCAGCGUUGCUCGGAAUUACUGGGCGUACAGGGUUCGUAGGCGGUGUGGCAAGUCGGACGUGAAAUCUCCAGGCUUAACUUGGAGGCUGCUUCCGAAACUGCCGUGCUAGAGGGCGGGAGAGGCCAGUGGAAUUGCAGGUGUAGCGGUGAAAUGCGUAGAGAUCUGCAGGAACACCCGUGGCGAAGGCGGCUGGCUGGACCGCAACUGACGCUGAGGAACGAAAGCUAGGGGAGCAAACAGG